ACUACGGGAGGCUGCAGUCGAGAAUCAUUCACAAUGGGGGAAACCCUGAUGGUGCGACGCCGCGUGGGGGAAUGAAGGUCUUCGGAUUGUAAACCCCUGUCAUGUGGGAGCAAAUUAAAAAGAUAGUACCACAAGAGGAAGAGACGGCUAACUCUGUGCCAGCAGCCGCGGUAAUACAGAGGUCUCAAGCGUUGUUCGGAAUCACUGGGCGUGAAGCGUGCGUAGGCUGUUUCGUAAGUCGUGUGUGAAAGGCGCGGGCUCAACCCGCGGACGGCACAGGAUUCUGCGAGACUAGAGUAAUGGAGGGGGAACCGGAAUUCUCGGUGGAGCAGUGAAAUGCGUAGAUAUCGAGAGGAACACUCGUGGCGAAGGCGGGUUCCUGGACAUUAACUGACGCUGAGGCACGAAGGCCAGGGGAGCGAAAGGGAUUAGAUACCCGGGUAGUC
rnacentral:rRNA from 1 species